AGCAGCCACGGUAAUUCCAGCUCCAAUAGCGUAUAUUAAAGUUGCUGCAGUUAAAAAGCUCGUAGUUGAAUUUCGGGACCAUCAUGUCGGUCGUGCCUCGGUACGAACUGGUAUUGUUGGUUUCUCCCUUCUGACGAACCAUGAUGUCAUUUAUUUGGUGUUGUGGGGAAUCAGGACUGUUACUUUGAAAAAAUUAGAGUGUUUAAAGCAGGCUCACGCUUGAAUACAUUAGCAUGGAAUAAUGAAAUAGGACGUUUGAUUCUAUUUUGUUGGUUUCUAGGAUCGACGUAAUGAUUAAUAGGGAUAGUUGGGGGCAUUAGUAUUCAAUUGUCAGAGGUGAAAUUCUUGGAUUUAUUGAAGACUAACUACUGCGAAAGCAUUUGCCAAGGAUGUUUUCAUUAAUCAAGAACGAAAGUUAGGGGAUCGAAGACGAUCAGAUACCGUCGUAGUCUUAACCAUAAACUAUGCCGACUAGGGAUCGGAUGAUGUUAAUUUUUUAAUGACUCA
rnacentral:rRNA from 1 species